GAUGAACGCUGGCGGCGUGCCUAAUACAUGCAAGUCGAGCGAACAGACGAGGAGCUUGCUCCUUUGACGUUAGCGGCGGACGGGUGAGUAACACGUAGGUAACCUACCUAUAAGACUGGGAUAACUUCGGGAAACCGGAGCUAAUACCGGAUAAUAUUUCGAACCGCAUGGUUCGAUAGUGAAAGAUGGCUUUGCUAUCACUUAUAGAUGGACCUGCGCCGUAUUAGCUAGUUGGUAAGGUAACGGCUUACCAAGGCAACGAUACGUAGCCGACCUGAGAGGGUGAUCGGCCACACUGGAACUGGGACACGGUCCAGGCUCCUACGGGAGGCAGCAGUAGGGAAUCUUCCGCAAUGGGCGAAAGCCUGACGGAGCAACGCCGCGUGAGUGAUGAAGGUCUUCGGAUCGUAAAACUCUGUUAUUAGGGAAGAACAAACGUGUAAGUAACUGUGCACGUCUUGACGGUACCUAAUCAGAAAGCCACGGCUAACUACGUGCCAGCCGCCGCGGUAACAC
rnacentral:rRNA from 1 species